UACGGGGGGAGCAAGCGUUGUCCGGAUUUAUUGGGCGUAAAGAGCGUGUAGGCGGCCAGAUAGGUCCGUUGUGAAAACUCGAGGCUCAACCUCGAGACGCCGAUGGAAACCAUCUGGCUAGAGUCCGGAAGAGGAGAGUGGAAUUCCCGGUGUAGCGGUGAAAUGCGCAGAUAUCGGGAAGAACACCCGUGGCUAAGGCGGCUCUCUAGUACGGUACUGACGCUGAGACGCGAAAGCGUGGGGAGCGAACAGG
rnacentral:rRNA from 1 species